rnacentral:rRNA from 1 species
GACGAACCGUGCGAACGUUGUUCGGAUUCACUGGGCUUAAAGGGCGCGUAGGCGGGCGACCAAGUCAGGGGUGAAAUCUUUCGGCUCAACCGGAAAAUAGCUUCUGAUACUGGCCGUCUUGAGGGAGGUAGGGGUCUGUGGAACUUCUGGUGGAGCGGUGAAAUGCGUAGAUAUCAGAAGGAACGCCGGUGGCGAAAGCGACGGACUGGAUCUCUUCUGACGCUGAGGCGCGAAAGCUAGGGGAGCGAACGGG